rnacentral:misc_RNA from 1 species
CAAACCCUUCAGAUCUAUCAUUAUCUUUUUUUUUGAUUAGUUUCUGGUGUUGGUGAAAGAGAAUAAGUUUUAGGCAAAUUCUCCUCACUGAAAUCGAAUGGCGGAUUGGCUAUACAGCUUAUUUACGGUGUAAUACUAAUGUUUUCACCCAAUUUUGGCUUUGUAGUAGCUUUUAUCCUGCCAAUAAAUCAUAUUUUAGC